ensembl:lncRNA
GAAAGGGAGAGCGGUUUCCAGAGGGAGCGGGGCGCAGGGCCAGGGUCUCCCGAGCGAGUGGGGCGCCGACCUGUUCUCGCCCCACGCUUGGGGCCCCUUGCUGAGCAGAGCUCCGCACCCGCACCGGAACCUCUGGCCAGUUGCUCUCGAGAGGGACACGGGCUGCUUAACAGCAAAGCAGGAAGUGAAUACUAAUGAAAUAUAUUCAUCGGCAACGAGUAGUUAGCUUCCUGGCUCUUACAGCCAGGUCUAAGGGAUGCACACUCCUUGGACGUGGGGAGGAGUGGCGUGGCUUGAAGGAGGCACUCUGGACAGUGCCUGUCGUGGGGCAGUGGCAGUGCGGAGGGCAGGAAGGCGCUGCAGCUGGCUGGCUUCAGGCUGCUUUGCAGUAACCACUUGGGUGACGGUGGGUAAUCCCAGUGUCUGCACCUGGAGCAGAGCCUCAGCCUUCUGAUUCUCUGCUAGAAGAAGGCUGAGUUUUGCUGACUGAGCGGCUGGAAUCUCCUUUUCUGCAAGAGAAAGAGUGCAUCAUGCAUCUAGAAGACAGACUGCAGGAGCUGUACCUUAAAAGUAAGAUGCUGUCCGAGUAUCUCACGGGGGACACACGCGUCCACGUGAAGGAGCUGGGUGUCGUGCUGGGGAUUGAAUCUAAUGACCUGCCUCUGUUGACUGCUAUCGCCAGCACACAUUCUCCUCAUGUGGCUCAAAUACUACUAUAAGCUAAAGCUCAGGACACUUCUUCCUUGGAAGAAGAAAAAUUCUCAGCUGCAAGAGAAAGGAAUAAGCUCUCUGGACGUCCAGCGUGAGAAGAGCAAGCAGAAACCAUUCCCGCUGUGUGUCUUGCACUGUUGCUUUCAGGUGGAUGCUUAUUGGAAGACUUAUGUUGGCACGGCACAGUGGCAUUUGUGACUUCAGGAGGCCUUUCUGCCUUUCGUUCCCAUGACUCAGCAGAGCCAGCCUGCUGGCGGAGGGGCACAGCACUACAGAGCGCUCGCUGCCGCGCUGCCAGGCGGGGCGAGGGGCGAGGGGCACUGUGUCAUUCUAGCAGCAGCGCCCAGCAGGCGGUGCUGCACACGAGCCAGGCGGGCGCGCUGUUCUAGAGACCGCGGUCCUCAGGCCAGGCGGGAAAGCCAUGCCACUGGCCACUGCCCCCAGCUCUGGCUGCAGCAGCUGCCGUGGGGAACAGAGGGUGCUGGGGGCGCUGUCCCCUUUCUGUUCAGUUUACUUGACUCAGGUGCAACCACAGGGAGUCAGAGAUGGAGCACUGGUGCGAGGUCUGUAUCUUGGGGAGAGGCGCUCAGCAGAGGACUGCAGGGAGGGAGGGCUCCCGCCGGCCGCCCCUUCCUGUGAGCGCUGCCAAGGACCAGGCUGUUUGAGGCACGGCUGGCUGGGUGGGAGCGAGGUCUGCAGCAGUUCCUUCGCAUAUUUCAGACAAUCCAUAUCUGAUCUGGAUUUUUACAUUAUCACCUCUGCACCUUCUGAUUCCUAUGUCCUUUUCAAAAUGACUUUACAGAAUUUCACUUGACCGUCAUAUAAAGCUUACCAAAGUGAAGAAUUAUUGUUCUAGUUCACUUCUAAAAAAAACCUUAAUUUUCUGUUACCAUAAAGAGACUUGGUUUGCUGACCAUGAAACAGACUGUGUGCUCACCUCUAGAGUAGAGUGGAAGACUUUUAACCUCUGACUGUGGAAAGGCAGGAGCAGUGGUAAAGCCAGCUGCUGCCGCACUUCAUGUGUCCCUGGCCUUGAGAACAGGAGAGGGAGCUCUCUGGGGGGAGCUGGCUGGCUGAUGGAGCCAUGAGUGACAUAAGUCUGUCUCUGUUCUUUCGCAAAUACAAGUCCGUUGUUGAUGCGUGAGUCGGCCAGCUGCCCGGGAGGCAGGCAGCGCUGAGGACCAGGGCAGAGCUGUUCCCCCUCCGCCCGCUAAGAAGAGGUCAGUGGGUGCCCAAAAAGGCCUGUAAGAUUUUUAAAUUUUCUUUGACGUCUUUCACAAAAUCGAAGUUUCCCUUUCUUUUGAAUCUUUGCUGUUGUGCCUGAGGGAGAGAACGCACCCUCCCCUGGGUCCUGCCCCGGCAUCUGCUUUCCCUUCUGUGUGAAUAAGCAGGUGGCAGCCUUUCCCUUGGUCCGGUCUGCACCGCCCAGCGCAUUCCCUUGUUUACACCUGUGGGCACUUUGCCUCGCUUCAGAGGAAAGGACAGGAUACAGACUCACUUCUGUUCUGUUCAGGUGUGUACCCAGGAGCAUGUGAAAUUAGCCCCAUCCAGGGGAAACUGACUUUAACCGGCUGAUUCUCAACUCCAUGUAUAAAAUAUUUAGCCCAGACCUUCAACCGGAGAAAACUGGCCCCUAAGAGUGUUGUUCCGGACUGCCCUGGGGAGAAGCUGGCAGGAGCUGCUCUCGGUCACAGUGGGGUUUGCCUCGGUGGUGGGAUUCCAGUCAGAGCCUGAUCCUCAGGUCUGUUACCUGUGAAACAGACCAGGAAUGCUGCUGCCCCUGUAGCCCUCCUCUGAACCCUGCCGUUCACAUUUUCUUUGUUUAAAUUCAACCUCUUCCCAAAAGUGAGAGAGAAUCCUCAUGGACUUGUGCCGAGAUGCGCCUGCUGCUCCUCCACACACCUGGGUUCCAUCCACCUUGGCCAGCUGGGCCAGAAAGGGACUUGCUCUCCCCCGUGCCCACCGUGGCGAUAAAAAUAAAAAUCAAAAAAAUAAGAAAUCUACCUCAGUUGACAGAUUCGACCUCUAGGGUUUUUUUCAACUUGUGAGUCUUACCUGUUGAGUGGAACUUUCGCAGUGUCUUGCUUUUCUGAGCAAGCUAGCGAGGCACAACAGAGCAGAAGGACUUCAGUCACUGUGAUGGGCCUCUCCUAGCAUAUUGCAGUUUUAUUUUUAACAAACUGAUAAGUGAUAUGAAUGUAAAGGUAAUUGUAGCGCAUUUUAAACACGACAAUGAAAAUUUAAAAUGUAGCUUCCAGACUUGUGCAUAAUUCCAAAGUAUUUUAUUUUUAUCAGUGUUAAAUAGCUUUUUGUACAGGCUUCAAUCCAUUUUUCUGAAAUGUGCUGUUUUUUAAUGAAAGUAACUAUAAUCUUUUCACAUCCCAUGGAACUGCUGUUUACACAUUGCAACUUUUUAAACUUAACCAUAUUUUUCCGAAUUAACUUUUUUGGAGGGAGGAAAUUCCCCACUUGCUAAAUGAUACUAAACUGUCGUUUGGGCUCUUAUAAUUAGGUCCUCAGAUUUUAUAAAAGGGUAGUCUGUAGCUUUCUAGGUUCUUCACUAACUAAAGUUGGUUGUACAUAAAUAAUAGAGUGACACCCAAAAUCUUUUAAAUAUCUGGGUUUUCCACUAGCGACAUAGCGUGGAGAAGUAUUUUGUUCAUGCAUACUUUAGCCAUUAAAUUGGACACAUCUUGAGCUUCUCUUAGUUAAUGCGAACCGUUUGUUUUUUUUUAUUGUACUUGAGACAGGAUAUUUUAAUAUAAUUUUUGCCUAAAUCAAACAGCCCACUCUAAAUGUUAAUUUUUAAAUGUCAGACUUUGGUGAGCCAUCUCUUUGGGAAGUAAGAUUACAGUAUGCUUAAUUUUCAGUGGUGGCUAAAGACAAAAUUCUGGGAUUUGUUACUAUUAAAGCUUCAUUAAGAGAAAUUGAUAGAGACUUUCUAUUUUUUGAUCAACUGAAUGGAUACCAAUGUCAGUGUAUGGGAAACUUUUCUUAAAACUUGUUCAUGUAUUCUUUUGAUCCAUUUUCUGUGGCAUUUGGUGCAAUAAACCUUUGGAAUUUAUCUUGAACAUUUUCUGGUGCAGCAUAUGAUCUGUUUGUUACCUUUAAUUGAGUACGGAGUCUCCCUUAACAAUAACUCAUGGAGAAACGAGGUUAUUACACAUAGUAGUGGCUCUCGGCAGGCUUUGGAAACGUGCGGGCAUCUUGGUUGGUUGUGCAGUUGAGGCCAGUGGUGUGGACCAGGGCUGACAGGCGAGAUGUCCCGCAGCAAGUGGACAUCAGGGCCAGUGCCUGUGUGACCUUGGAAUGCCGCUGGACAUUCGUGUGGGUGAAAACCUGAUUAAUUAUCUAAGCCGAGAACUGAGUUCUGUACGUAAGAGGACAAUGUUACAUGAUUUUAGUGUAGGCAUGUUUCAGAAUGCACCCGUUAACUCUACACACUGAGGGAAGAUUGACUUUGUAAGGAUUGUAGCAGGAAUUGGUUACUUGGUCUUUACCAAGAGCUGAUGUACUGUUUGGAAAACUCCGCUCCCAGCAGCAACUGAUGUGGAACUGCCCAUCUGCGCGCGGAGCCUCUGCUCCUGGGCUUGAGCAUGGCCCACUUCCCGCACCUCCUGAUCCGGCGCCCUAAAAUGUAGGCACUGGAAUAUGCAUUGCUACAUGGCAUUUUAAAUGGUGCAACUGGGAACUAUUGAUUUGUGAUAGACUGUGUAUGCAAGUCAUACUGUUAAUGAAUUUUAUCAUAAAGGGGCCACUAUAAAAUAUUUGCUAUGGAAAGAGGUGAGUUACAGCACUGUACUUGGUCAGAGGAAGUGGUACUGUUAAGCAUGCCUUGUCCUGUUGCGAUGCCUGCUGUUUCGUUGCCUGAAAGACCGUAGGGAGACGUCAGGUGUUCGUAGGGAGAUGUCAGGUGUUGUCUCCUGCAUGAAGGCCAUAGACACACACAGGCGCUGCCUGGAGUGUGUCACCCCCUUUCAUCCCCACACCAGGUGACACAGGGACUGGGUGCUGAGGUCUCUCAUUGAUGAGGCCACAGGGCUCAGACACUUGGUGGAACCCAGUCUGGGUGUGCUACGAAGGCGUGUUGGAUGAGAUCAGUAUUUCAAUCGGAAG